rnacentral:rRNA from 1 species
CAAAACGACUCUCGGCAACGGAUAUCUCGGCUCUCGCAUCGAUGAAGAACGUAGCGAAAUGCGAUACUUGGUGUGAAUUGCARAAUCCCGUGAACCAUCGAGUCUUUGAACGCAAGUUGCGCCCGAAGCCAUUAGGCCGAGGGCACGCCUGCCUGGGCGUCGCA